AAAUGAAUAGACGGGGGCCCGCACAAGCAGCGGAGCAUGUGGUUUAAUUCGAAGCAACGCGAAGAACCUUACCAGGUCUUGACAUCGAGGCAAAGCGCUAGAGAUAGCGUGUUCAGCAAUGAAGCCAAAGACAGGUGGUGCAUGGUUGUCGUCAGCUCGUGUCGUGAGAUGUUGGGUUAAGUCCCGCAACGAGCGCAACCCUUAUGGUCAGUUACUAACGGGUAGAGCCGAGGACUCUGACGAGACUGCCGGGGACAACUCGGAGGAAGGUGGGGACGACGUCAAAUCAUCAUGCCCCUUAUGACCUGGGCUACACACGUGCUACAAUGGUGGCAACAAAGAGGAGCGAGCCCGUAAGGGGGAGCGGAUCUCAAAAAAGCCAUCUCAGUUCGGAUUGUGGGCUGCAACCCGCCCACAUGAAGUCGGAGUUGCUAGUAAUCGCGGAUCAGCAUGCCGCGGUGAAUACGUUCCCGGGCCUUGUACACACCGCCCGU
rnacentral:rRNA from 1 species